rnacentral:rRNA from 1 species
CCUACGGGAGGCAGCAGUGAGGAAUAUUGCGCAAUGGGGGAAACCCUGACGCAGCAACGCCGCGUGGGUGAAGAAGGCCUUCGGGUCGUAAAGCCCUUUCGGACGGGACGAACGCUUCGCGGUGACAACCCGCGAAGUCUGACGGUACCGUAGGAAGAAGCACCGGCUAACUCCGUGCCAGCAGCCGCGGUAAU